GAUCCUUUAUUAAUAGAUUUAUCGCUACCGGAUUGGCUCGCGUACCAUUAGCUAGUUGGCGGGGUAACGGCCCACCAAGGCGACGAUGGUUAGGGGUUCUGAGAGGAAGGUCCCCCACAUUGGAACUGAGACACGGUCCAGACUCCUACGGGAGGCAGCAGUGAGGAAUAUUGGACAAUGGCCGAGAGGCUGAUCCAGCCAUGCCGCGUGCGGGAAGACGGCCCUAUGGGUUGUAAACCGCUUUUGUUGGGGAGCAAUAAGGAUCACGUGUGGUCCGAUGAGAGUACCCAGCGAAUAAGCAUCGGCUAACUCCGUGCCAGCAGCCGCGGUAAUACGGAGGAUGCAAGCGUUAUCCGGAUUUAUUGGGUUUAAAGGGUGCGUAGGCGGAUGCCUAAGCGUGAGGUGAAAUCCCCGGGCUCAACCUGGGAACUGCCUCGCGAACUGGGUAUCUGGAAUGCCCCUGCCGUGGGAGGAAUGUGUGGUGUAGCGGUGAAAUGCAUAGAGAUCACACAGAACACCGAUUGCGAAGGCAUCUCACGAAGGGGUGAUUGACGCUGAGGCACGAAAGCGUGGGGAUCAA
rnacentral:rRNA from 1 species